ACUCGGGAGGCAGCAGUGGGGAAUAUUGGACAAUGGGCGAAAGCCUGAUCCAGCCAUGCCGCGUGUGUGAAGAAGGCCUUCGGGUUGUAAAGCACUUUCAGUGGGGAAGAAAGCCUUGGGGCUAAUACCCUCGAGGAAGGACAUCACCCACAGAAGAAGCACCGGCUAACUCCGUGCCAGCAGCCGCGGUAAUACGGAGGGUGCGAGCGUUAAUCGGAAUUACUGGGCGUAAAGCGCGCGUAGGCGGUCUGAUAAGCCGGUUGUGAAAGCCCCGGGCUCAACCUGGGAACGGCAUCCGGAACUGUCAGGCUAGAGUGCAGGAGAGGAAGGUAGAAUUCCCGGUGUAGCGGUGAAAUGCGUAGAGAUCGGGAGGAAUACCAGUGGCGAAGGCGGCCUUCUGGACUGACACUGACGCUGAGGUGCGAAAGCGUGCGUAGCAAACAGGAUUAGAUACCCUGGUAGUC
rnacentral:rRNA from 1 species